UAAGUUAGAACCUUGUUUGGUGAAAUGCAUUCAUUUUUCGGCCAAAAUAAAAAUUUUUGGGACAGAUUUAUCUGGCAGACUAAUGAUGAUUAGAAAACCAUCCAGCCUUUCUUAUAUUUUGAAUUAGGAGGAGGUUGGGGCAGAGUUGCCACAGACUUUAGAAAAUAAAUAUCCCUGAUUUCCCUGACAAAGUUUGGGAAAAAUCCCUGACAAUUGAAGAUAUGCUAGACGGUAAUAAUAUUUUUCCGAAGAACUUUGUUGUUUGAAACGUCAAACUCAUUUCAGAAAGUGAUGAGGGCAACUUAACAAUUUUUUCCUGACACGUUCGUCAUUCGUCCUAACAUUUCCAGGUUUUUCCUGAUAUUUCCCGAUAUUCCCUGACUGGGGCAGCCCUGUUGGGAUUAUUUGAGUGAGAGGAUUAAAAAAGUAAAACGUAUGUACUGGAUUUAUGAACAAAUGCAGACUUGGAUACUUAAAAAUUCUUGGUUCAAAGCUUUUUCACAGUAGUUUUACUCAGGCUCUCCAUCUCUAGUAUCAGGAUAAAAAGUGAAACUUUCUCUAAAAAAAUGUUCGAGUAUACAUUAAACCAAGGUAAGAGUAACGUGAUUAAAGUAGGUGCCUCUGAUUAAUAAUUUGGACGAGAUUAGAGAGAGAAGCUUUUGUUAUUUAUCAGGGUUUAAAGUGCAGUGACAGCAGAAAAAUGGUUGGGAAGGGAGGGGGGGAGAUAAGAUACAAGGAGUGGAUUUUGACAUUCAGUUGAGAAUGUGCUACUCCAGUUUCUAGUAUUAAAUUAUUUUACUGGCUAUGAAAUAUCAAAUUUACCUUACUAUCAGCCAGAUUGUUUGUGCAUUAAACCAGUUGUGUGGCCGUUCGAUGGCCCGGAUUAACUUCUAAAUCUCCUGCCCUAAAAUUCGACUGAAACAGCGUUUUUGAGAUCACAAGGGACAUCUGGGUAACAUCAAUCCAAGGUGACAGUUCACAGCAAUAGCAGAUCUCUCUCACUUGAGUCUGUGCAUACUGCUCCUCCUCUAGGUGCAAAUGUGGAACAGUAAACUGCAAGUUGCAACUACACGGCCUUGGAUGGAAAAAAGGUAAACAUCUAGCACUCAGCUGAUGCAUUACUGGAAUUGUUGACCAUUUUAACUGACCAAAAAGACAAACAACUUGUCAACUUGAAAGCAUUAAGCAGCAAAAAUGCUGGUGUCAUGAGGAACAGAGAAAUCGAAGAUGCUGUGUGGGCAUGGAGGAGGUUUUCACACCUGGGGCUAAUUAUCUUGUUCCGCCUGUCUAUAAGUAGGAGAGAGGGAGAAAUAGAGGAGAGAGCAAGAGAAAGAGGGGGGGGGAGGGCAUUGACAGAGAUAAAUGGUUAGUGAGUUAAGACAAGUUAAUGGCUUUCAUUUCAUGAGGAAUAAUUUAACAUCCAAGUCGGCAUCUAAACUUAAUUUGGAAAGAGAGAUAAAUUUCCUAGAUUCCCCUUGAUAAGGUACUCUCUUCUUGCUUUACAUAACUUGUAUAUGACAUGGGUACAAGUAAACCUUAAAAAAGAGAACCCUCCUCAAAGGAAUAAUUAUAAAUACUUUUAAGUUAAAUGAGGGGGGGGGGAGGUGCAAAUACUUAAAUAUUUUUAGUUUCUGACCUUUUAUUGGUCUUACCCAUUUUUCAGUGGAAUAUAUUCUUCACUGAUAGACUACAGCAACCUCCCUUCACUUAUUCAUCGGCCCUUCAACUAAUACCAAAUAAAUACUUUACAUCCUGAGAUCAUGGUACAGAAGUACAAUUAAAUUUUGGCAAAGCCAUAAUUACUACAUUUUAUGAUUGACUGCAAAAGUCCUUUUCCUAGGUGCCUAGGGUUUUUUUAAAAAAGAAAAAAAAAAUACCCCUACAAAUCACUUUUAUGAUUGAGUAUAUUUAGACAGAAAGAGGAUCUUGCUUGAUUUUCAUUAAGAGGACAGAUAAUUGUUAGGAAGAAAAACAGAUUAAAAAAUGAAAGAAAAAAACUGUCCGAUAAAAAAAUCUUAGGGAGCCACCCGCCUUUCCCGACUGAGAGGCAAGAGUAAAAACAUCCUACUUAGCAUCACAUGAGUAAGUAAUAGCUCAUCAGUUUUAGCUCAUCAGUUCGAUACUGUGAACUGAAUUCUUCCGACUGAGAAAGAAUCAAGGGUAUAGAGGUGCAAUUGUGCCAGAUGGAAAAGUAGAAAUCAUCAGACUUGAAGAAUUAUAAGACUUGGCAAUACUGUUAGAAAUGUUGUUGCAAUCUCUUGACUUGGUGGGGACAUUGGAGGACAAAAAUAGCCCAUGAAGGAGGAGGUUAAUCUUAAAAUCGGUUUUUGAAUAUACUUUUUUGCUCAAAUACACUCAAAAUUCAGCUAUGAACCUCUUCAUGAAAUUGAAUAAGAACAGUUCAAGUCAACAAAAGCUAAAUUAUUUGGGGAACAGGAACCCUGAAAAUCAAUGAGUGCUGUAUUAAUAGCCCUGUCAGGAAGAUGAGUGAACGCUCACAAGCAGAACAUUGACAUAAAAACCAACCUCAUGGCAAUCAGCCCAAAUUUUAAUGCAAUCCCAAGCUCUUUCUCUUGCUAGUGAAAUUCUCAACUCAAUCAGGGAAAAGCUCAGUAAAUAAUGCUCAGAAGUUGGCUUGUCUGAAAACAUGCUAUUACUUUAUCACAUAACGACUUCAAAAACCUCAGGGAAAAAUUAAAAUCAUUAAAGAAAAAAAUCAAGGUACCUACUCCUUAUAAAUCUUCUGUGCAUAAGUGCUGCUUUUAGAAAGAUCAAAGCAGAAAAGUAAAAAAACAAAAAUCAGAGCUUGUCCUCCAGUUAAAAAAAAAAGGACAGGAGAAAAUAAUGUUUACCACUCUUUAUGAUACUUGAAGAGAAUUCUUUUCAACUACUUCUAAUUUUUCUAGGUAAAAGGAAGAAGGAGGUAUUUCAUAAUUUUUGAGGGUUUCUUUUCGAUGAAGGGAAGGAAUGAAUAAAAUGUAACAAGGAACUGGAAGUGCUGAGUUGUAUCAUUAGAAAAUACUUCUUCGAUGAUGAGAAAAGAAUAAGAGACAAAACUGCCAUGAAAUAAAGAUAUAACGAUGAUAAUUCACUACUGAUUUUAUAUCAUCGAAUGAUUGGCACAAGUCUCUUUUAAUGUUUUAGAGUGGGAACCACUGUAGUUUAUAAAAAAAAGGCGAAGUCCUCUGACAAUCUCCCCCCCCUUCCCCCCGAUCCACUUUAGCAGAUUUAAAAAGACAUUACUGAGCAUUAUUGUACUUGCAGAGGAAAAUCUGAGGAAUAUGAGUAAAAUUUGAAAAUAAGUACUUAUUUUCCAAAAAAUGAUUUUAACUUCAGGCUUAAAUUAUAAUCAGCCUAACUACAUUUCGUGUUGCCUAAUUUUCUCUAAUGUUCCCUAUUUUAAACAGAGAAUUAAACUACAUACUUAAUACUUUUAAAAUUUCUGUGAAUUUACUUUCCAUUAAGAAGAAUAUACUCACACAAUUUUAAGUUCCAGAGCUGUUUAGUUUUCUGUUUAAAAAAUGAUCCCUGAGAAAAAAUUGGCGACGUCUGAUGUAGUUUAGUUAGUUCUAGUUGAAGGACUGUAUAUAUAGAGAAGGAUGAAAACUAGAAUUUAAAAGCUUACCAAGAACAGGUUCAUUUUUUACGCCGAAAUCACUGAUUCCAGCUUCGGGUAGCACUGACCCAAAAUGACGACAGCAGACCCUGGACAAAAGAAACAUUGCAUAUUUAGCAUUAAAGAUUGCCUCAGCAGUAAUUAUUACUGAGAAGGAAAAACUUUAUUGAUAUGAAAGUUAAAUAAAAUAAAAAAAAUCCAGGACUAGAACUGAGAACUGUAAUUCUGUUGAGAUUUGAUUUGAACAUUUAUUUUGCAAGAUUUGGGCACAGCUGAGUAAGCAUAAUUGAUGAAUUCAAUAAAAUCAUAUUUUCUCUCUAUCAUAACAAUUUUUUGGUCUAGGUACUAAAAUCAUUUAAAAAAAAAAAAAAAAAAAAAAAAAAAAAAAAAAAAAAAAAAAUUAUCUAAGUAAGUACCUAGACUAACUUUGAGUUAAAAAACUAUUCUUAGUCCUGUACUGCAAAAUGAUUUUAUUAAAUGAAACACGCUCUUUGGAGGGAAAAAGAAACUGAUAUUCCAGUCACAAAAACCAUGUUUCUUUUAUUGGGAUGAAGUCAAAUUAGUUAUAUUGUUCUAGGAACUUGGCUCCUUGUCUUGGGCUGUUGCCCUUCAUGUUACCCUAGGUCAUGUAUUGUUGAAUGAGAGAUUCAAUAAACAUAAGAUUGAGCCUAUACCAAUUCAAAAGCCAAAAAUAGAUUCUGGCUAAGAAAACAUAAAAGUUCAAAAAGGCUACUGAGCUACUUCAUUAUUUUUGGAACUAGACACGUAUGGUGAGUGGAUUGACAAUAAAUCCUUCACAUGUAGAAACAAUCAACUAACAAACUGUGAGACAUGGUUGCCACAGAAUUUAGAAAAUGAAAUUCCCUCACACUUGCGGCUGUACUAGAUGAUCGAAAAGAGAAAUAAAAAUCAACACUUCCAAACCCAAGCAUGUAACAUUUUAAUUCUGAGUGUCAAAUAACUUUUUAGGAAAGCAAAUAGAGCUGAUUUAACAAUUUUUCCCCAACACUUUCACCAUUUUACUUGACAUUUCCAGGUUUUCCCUGGCUGUGGCAAUUGUCAUGCUGGUUGACAUUGUCUGUAAAAUAAAAUAUAUUGAAAAUACUCAUAACUAAAAGAAAAUGACUGCGUAACUUAGUUGGCGUCAGUUAUCGUCUCAGUCAAUUUUUCCUGGUAGGAGAGUGUGGGAAGGUGAGAAAUAAGUACAGGAAAAUUUAUUGACACAUAACUAAAAACACUAAAGAGGCUGUAUGUAAAUUGCUGUGUUGCCAACCUUGGCACUUUACCUUCUGCAUAUCGCUUAUCGACGGUGUAAGUCGGCAAUCACAUAACUCGGUUUGCGACGUAGCAAACUUCCUGUCAUACUUUAUUUUUUAAUUGGGAAACUACUCAAUAGCAAUGCUUUAAAGCUGCCGUAAUUUUUCUCCUCUGUGAGAAGAAAAUUCCGAAAAAAACUUCAAGGAAUGAUGUCAAUUUGUUCUCCUUUAAAAAAAAUAUCAUUGAAGCGGAGAUUUUCAGACACCGCAAACGAAAUAUGUGAUUACAGAGUUACGCUGUCGUUAUGGUACACAAUUCCUUUGGCUCAAACAAAUUUGUUUCAUUAAAAUUAACUGACUUUAUUUUCACAGGAAACCAUGAUGUUCCUACAAAAGCAUCUGACAAUAUCUCAUCGAUAAAUCCAUUUUGUUAAAAACCAUGCUAGUAAUAUCUUUCCAAGUAGAGAGUGCGAUAUAAAGUUUGAAACAUUAAGAAUCAGAAUGUAUGUUUUUUAGUUCUGUUACACUUCAUAUAUUUUUGAACUGACAACUUUCAUAAGUUCUACUUAAAAUAACAUAUUCUAAGGAUGCAGGUGUUCUAUGGAAUCAUCUUUGAAAACUGCAAAGUAUAGUAAAAAAAUAAAACAAUCGAUCAAGGCAGUAUUAAAAAUAUGCUACAAAGAUUUUAAUACUUUACUACUUGUAAAAACAGCGCUUUCAUGAAUACCAUUUUAAAAUGGGUCAAGCUUGAAAGCUUGCUUUGGAACCCAUAAAUCUGCUCCUGAUGAGGAAUUCUACUUCAUAGUAGUAAUUAAUUAAGUGUGAAGAUAGCAGAUACUGACUGGAUGUUACUAAGUUGCCUUACAACUUUUUAAAACCUCUUCCAGAUUGCAAUAGUUGAGAACUAUCUUAGGACAGUAUCUGGUUGUGAUCAAAUUUGAGUCAAUACAGAACCUUUACGCAAACUGGAGAUCUUAAAACAGGCCUGAAAAAUUUUAGACUAGGUAGAAUGCGACAUUCUCUUAUAGAGUAAAUAAAAAUUGGGGUCUUCAUGAAAAAUAAUACCUAUCUCCUGAUAUGGUACAGAUGGAGAAAUAAGAGAUAUGGAUUGGAAUAUUGCAGGUGGGAAAAGUUCAGGGUUUAGCACCUUAUUGGCAGCAUAGAUCCAAAGUACUUAGCUCCCAUUCCUUAGAACCAGGCAUUUCAAUGAUAAUAAAAAUUUCUUGAGACCACAUGCGAACUACCGUUCUUACACUUGAACUUGGACCCACUGGAUGGAUCGAGGUCCUUUGGUAUUGAAUUUGUUGAGUUAGAAUUAAGACAAAAGCAUUUCUGUUUAAAAGUAUAGUAUUAGUUGCGUACUGAAUGAGUUAAUGAAUAUAGAUUGAAUGCCUACUCAAGAUGCAACUCUGCGCCGCUGUCUCGAAAUCGACUCACCCGACUAAUGUUUGAGAUUAGAGACAAAUUAGAGCAAGCGAUAUGAAGAGAGUACCUUUAUUGAAGUAAAUAACGUUUAGCAAAAAACUUAAAUCAAUAAAGGGAGCAGAGCCGAAUGUGGGGGCAGUUCAAACAAACUGACCCACAGACCAAAAAGUAUUGUUUGGAUUUUGAUGUAUUUUAGCCUUGACUGUCAUUAGAAAACCAUCGGAUUAAUAACGCCGAAACUAAAGAGUUAAGGACAUGUACUUUGAAUUACCUUUGGAAGUAUCCAUGGGUGCACACUUUACUAACGGACAACAUGAUUAAUUACUAACUAGGAUAGUAAAUUUUAAACAUUAACGUCAUAAAACACACGAUUCCUUUCAAAAAUAA